rnacentral:rRNA from 1 species
CUGGCUCAGGAUGAACGCUGGCGGCGUGCUUAACACAUGCAAGUCGAGCGAAGCACUCUGGAAGAUUCCUUCGGGAUGAUUCCUCUGUGACUUAGCGGCGGACGGGUGAGUAACGCGUGGGCAACCUGCCUUGUACAGGGGGAUAACAGUUAGAAAUGACUGCUAAUACCGCAUAAGCGCACAGCAUGGCAUCAUGCAGUGUGAAAAACUCCGGUGGUACAAGAUGGGCCCGCGUUGGAUUAGCUAGUUGGUGGGGUAACGGCCCACCAAGGCGACGAUCCAUAGCCGGACUGAGAGGUCGAACGGCCACAUUGGGACUGAGACACGGCCCAGACUCCUACGGGAGGCAGCAGUGGGGAAUAUUGCACAAUGGAGGAAACUCUGAUGCAAGCGACGCCGCGUGAGUGAUGAAGUAUUUCGGUAUGUAAAGCUCUAUCAGCAGGGAAGAAGACGACGGUACCUGACUAAGAAGCCCCGGCUAACUACGUGCCAGCAGCCGC